GUCAGACUCAGUGAGUCAGUGCCUCAGACCCUCAGUGAUCAUUAUCAAUUGGUGUCAGAAUUUCCUAUUGUGCAGGGGUCCUCCUCAAGCCAGUCGAACAAGGUUGCGGGACCAAAGACAGUCCUAACCUGUCCGAAAAGGCUUCGGAUUCUGUGACGUCAGUUUGAACAGGAAUUCAAGAUGAAUCCUAUUAUGCCCACGUUUUGAGAGAUGCAGUUAAACAAGGAAUUUAAACAGAGAUUGAUCCUUUGAUGCAACCGAGAGAGAGAAACCCAACCCAGAGAAAGAGCAAAUGUUACAAGGAGUUACAAGGAUUGGGAUGUCGCCAAAGUCUUAUUACUCCAUCCGAGGAGACAUCGUGUGCACUAGAGAGAGAAGCAACCCAACCCAAAGAGAGAGUUUCAAGAGAAUAUUAAAGAGGAACUCUGGUGAUAAAUCACGAGAACGAGGAGAGGCAAGAGGAUCGCCGGUAACCUUCAAAACCCAAAGAAAGAUGUCGGUAAUCCAGGGCAGUUAAUAAAAUGUUCUGGACGCCUCAAAUUUUACACACAAAUUUAAUCCUUUUUUUUUUUUUCAAACCCACUGGCGUAAUGUCCGGUCUGAAGAGUUGUGGAAUAGGCCCACUUAAUUUGGUAUUGUAAAUGCUACUCUUGAUGUAGUGUUAUGUAUUUCUCUUAUGUAAUUCUCUGCAUUUGUAAUGCUACUCUUGUUUAUGUAAUAAAUUACCACACUUU